UACGUAGGCAGCGAGCGUUGUUCGGAGUUACUGGGCGUAAAGAGUGCGUAGGCGGUUUUCUAAGUUUGGUGUGAAAUCUCCCGGCUUAACUGGGAGGGUGCGCCGAAGACUGGAAGGCUUGAGUAUGGGAGAGGUAAGCGGAAUUCCUGGUGUAGCGGUGAAAUGCGUAGAUAUCAGGAGGAACACCUGCGGUGUAGACGGCUUACUGGACCAUAACUGACGCUGAGGAGCGAAAGCGUGGGGAGCAAACAGG
rnacentral:rRNA from 1 species